GCGCCCGUAGCUCAAUUGGAUAGAGUGACAGGCUUCGAACCUGUAGGUUCCGAGUUCGAUCCUCGGCGGGCGCA
rfam:Omnitrophica bacterium RIFCSPLOWO2_12_FTLL_44_17 rifcsplowo2_12_scaffold_55, whole genome shotgun sequence.